rnacentral:rRNA from 1 species
AUUGAACGCUGGCGGCCGGCCUCACACAUGCAAGUCGAGCGAGCGGCGGACGGGUGAGUAAUGUCUGGGAAACUGCCUGAUGGAGGGGGAUAACUACUGGAAACGGUGGCUAAUACCGCAUACCAUCAGAUGUGCCCAGAUGGGAUUAGCUAGUAGGUGGGGUAACGGCUCACCUAGGCGACGAUCCGUAGCUGGUCUGAGAUGAUGACCAGCCACACUGGAACGGAGAACCGGUCCAGACUCAUACGGGAGGCAGCAGUGGGGAAUAGUGCACAAUGGGCGCAAGCCUGAGGCAGCCAGGCCGCGGGUAUGAAGAAGGCCUUCGGGUUGUAAAGUACUUUCAGCGGGGAGGCGUUACCCGCAGAAGAAGCACCGGCUAACUCCGUGCCAGCAGCCGCGGUAAUUC